UCUCUGUUGAUCUCUGCAUUCGGGACUAAGAACAGGAGAAAGUCCUUUAGAGAAACGAGUUGACCUUUUGAACCCUGUUUUGUAUGUGCUGACACUCGCUUGUUAUGGAGGAAUUAGGAGUUCCUGGCUUGCUGCUCGAUCAGUCCCUCAGCACAGCUCCCACUUUGGCUCCACCCAGCCUUCCUGACCCAGACGUGCCAGUGCUGCUCAUCGUGUGUGUAACCCUUGCUGUGGUUUUGGUGGUGGUUUUUCUGGGGAUCUACUAUGGCUUCCAACGCCACAGGUAGUAUCAACCCUAGAGGGUGUCUCACACACAGGACAGUCAAUGGACCUAUUCAAAUACCCUUCAAAUGUAUUCGUACUUCUUUCCAAGAGGAAAUCACUGAUCUGACACAUUGAUUGAAGCAAUGGGGAACGCAUGUUUUCACGUAUCCACUCUUGUACUGAUCAGUGAUUACCACAGUGAAGGGAGGAAAGAAAGCAUCCAUUUUAGAGGUAUUCACUCACUGCACAGAUAUAACCUACAUGGUUGUAAGUCUCCUCUUUGUUUCCAUCAGUGCUCAGAAAAACACCACUGACACCACCAGAAGAAAUGGGUACAUUUAAAAAAAAAAUGUUUUUAACCUUUAUUUAACUAGGCAAGUCAGUUAAGAACAAAUUCUUAUUUUCAAUGAUGGCCUAGGAACAGUGGGUUAACUCCCUGUUCAGGGGCAGAAUGACGGAUUUGUACCUUGUCAGCUCGGGGAUUUGAACUUGCAACCAACUUACUAGUCCAAUGCUCCAUGAGGAUGAAUCCCGAAGUAAGACUUAAAUCCUUCUAUUUCAAUUCAAUUUUUAACGCAUGUCUCUCUUUGCAGGGACUGGCUGGAACAUCGACGUGUUUGUCUGCACAAGAUGUGCAUCUGCAUGCAAAUGUAUUGGCUGAAGCCUAGUAGUAACGUAGGUUGUAUUCCAAAUGGUAUCAUAUUCCCUAUUUUGUGAGAGAAAUUUGACCAGAGCCCUAUGGGUCCUGGUCAAAAUGAGUGUACUAUAAAGGGAAUAGGGUGCCAUUUGGAACACAACCCUAAUUUCAACAAUGUCUGGAGUUGAGUAUCACAUCAGUCUGUCUGCAAUAAACAUUUUGAGCAGCAAAAUCAGACAGGAGUUUUUAUGUAUUGUGACUCCACUAGGGGGAGCCAAACGUGCAAGAGAGACUUCAGGGGCCUCAUCGAUUAGAACCAUUUCCUUUGCC